GAUGAACGCUAGCGGCAGGCCUAACACAUGCAAGUCGAGGGGUAGAGGAAGCUUGCUUCCUUGAGACCGGCGCACGGGUGCGUAACGCGUAUGCAAUCUACCUUUUACAGAGGGAUAGCCCAGAGAAAUUUGGAUUAAUACCUCAUAGUAUUUUCGAAUGGCAUCAUUUGAUUAUUAAAGUUCCAACGGUAAAAGAUGAGCAUGCGUCCUAUUAGCUAGAUGGUAAGGUAACGGCUUACCAUGGCAACGAUAGGUAGGGGUCCUGAGAGGGAGAUCCCCCCCACUGGUACUGAGACACGGACCAGACUCCUACGGGAGGCAGCAGUGAGGAAUAUUGGACAAUGGGCGCAAGACUGAUCCAGCCAUGCCGCGUGCAGGAAGACGCAUCUAUGGUGUGUAACCUGCUUUUGUACGGGAAGAAACACUCCCUCGUGAGGGAGCUUGACGGUACCGUAAGAAUAAGGAUCGGCUAACUCCGUGCCAGCCGCCGCGGUAAGAC
rnacentral:rRNA from 1 species